UUCAAAGCUCGCAAUGCACCGUUCUGAAAACUCUCCAGCGUAGAAUUCAGGAACCCUGAGUUUUCUAUCUCUGUCUAGUUCUGGACUGAAUGGGCUCAAGUCAUCUAGUUAACCUCUCUGGAUUUCAGUCUUCUGAAAAGUGAAGCUAAGAGAUCUAGCAUUCUGCAGAAAAGUACUGGAGAUGACUCAGGACUGAAAAUGAUCAUGAAGCCCCUUUGCAAAUAUCAAAGUGGUGAUGAAGCAGUCAUGAACUUUGACCAGAAGCCGUGUUUUGUGGGAUUGCCACUUUAAUCGCUCCUGUUCAUCAUUAGGACUGCAGCCAGAGUGUGGAAGGAGGGACUCCAAAUAUAUAAGAAGAUGCUACCACACCCUGGGAGAUUGGAUUCCCCACUGCGCUGGCUUUCUCAAGCUCUGUGAAAUGUGAUGUUGGCUGGAACUUAUCAUGAAGAGCUUUGCUGUAAAACAGAUCUGGGUGACAGCACAGAGGAAGAGAUGGUCCAAGACCAAAGAGGAAAGAAAUGGCAUAAGAUGGGACAGUGUUCUAUGAUCUCUAACUGGCCAAAGAAAAAUGAGAAACAAAUUUAAAAGAAGACAGUUGGAUGACUUAAACACCACCCCUGAGAGGCAGCUGUUUCCAGAAUAUUGCACAAUUUAUUGAGUUCAUGAGAAUCGUGAUCGUUGGCAGCACCGAACUUCACGGAGGGAAUCAUAGGCACUUUAAUUCCAAUUUGUUGACUUAUGGAGGAAGAAAUUUCUCCCAGUGGUGUCCCUUCAUCCAGGAACAAGAGCCAUCAAAGUGUCACAGACUUAGAGCCGGAAGGGCUCUCCGCUAGUGUUUCUGCCAGUCCUCUUGGUUUUACACAUGAGGAAACUGAGGCCCAGAGAAGUUACCCAGUAGCAGAUCUGCAAGUCACCCAGUAGCAGAUCUGCAAGGAGCUCUUAGCAAUCCUGACUCCAAGUGUAAUGCUCUUGCAUUAGCUCUGUGCUGCCUCCUAGAUGUUGGUCUUCUUAAUGUUGAUAGCACAUUUGCUCAAAUGUUUGCUAAUAUGGUUUGGCUGUGUCCUCACCCAAAUCUCAUCUUGAAUUGUAGUUCCCAUAAUCCCCACUUGUCGU
rnacentral:lncRNA from 1 species